AGGGGCUGACUAUUUUUCGUGUCCUCCCGGAAGUGGAGGUGAACUGUUUCUUCUAGGAGGGAACGUGUGCUAAUGAAGUCCCAGUUUCUGAUCCCAUACGCUCCCGUGCUGUGGGUGCGGCGUGAAGGACUCUAUUUAAUGGGCUGGGACGGUAUCCCCUCACCCCCCGGAAGUGGCUGGUGCUGGAUAGAGGGAGAAUUCCCUCCCGCGCGGGCCCGUCCGAAACCCCGCUUCUAGGGCCACAGGCUGCCGAGGACUCAUCCUCCCACCAGGAGUUGUUUUAGUUUUCGCCCCUACGUAUCUAUUUAGCUCUCGUGCGCGCGCGUGUAUUUGCAUAUGCAAAUACAUUUAGAUAUUAUAGCAGUUGUCAAAUUAAGGUAGACUGAAGCACGAAUUCCGAGCAAGGUCAGAAUCCGAAUUUAAAUAAAUUAGCAUCCCGGCUUCCACGGUAAAGACGCGGUUAUGCAGUGAGCGAGUUCUUAUAGUUUUGGGGAGUACGGAAAAUAGUACGGCUGAGGGAAGAAAAUACGGUGGUUGGACAUUGGGAAUGAAAACGAGCAACAACCUCCCCUUUCCCUCCCGAGACUAAAAUGUUCCUCCUUCGAGUCCAGCCCUGCCCUCAAGGACAGAGAGAGCAAACCAGACGUCACUGAAGGAUACCUUGUGGGUCUGAACAUCCUAGACCCGAUUCCUUUUUUUCCAUCUGCAUCCUUCAUGGGCAACAGAUUUCUUUGACGAAAGAAUAGAGGAAUAGGAAGAGAACUGGAUUUCCAAACAUAGGACAGCCAAAUUUCUGAGUUAAGUUUAGAGAUGAAGAAUCACGAAUUGGGCUGUUACAGGACAAAAUCGAUUAAUUGAGAGGAAAAAUUGAUCCUUGGUGCUAUUCUCCUGGUUUCCUUGCAUCCCUACCCUUUUUUGCUCACUGAAAUCAAGAUUCCUAUCCAUAAUGCUAACAGGACACUUGACAGGAGUGGGAUACUUCUUUUUCUGAAAUCAGAGACCCACAAGUUUGUUCUUUUUUUCUUGGAAGAUCUACCAGUUAGAAAUCAGAUUACCUAAUGUUAUAUUGUUUCCUUUUAAUUAAUUGUGAGUAUUUGUCAUUGUUUUUAAGGUAUAAAAAGUCUGUUUGCCCCUGUAUUGGGAUCCAGGCCUAAGCUAAGGAAGUCUGGUCCCAGCUUAUUGAACAUUUGCUAUGUAUUGCUUAAUAAACCCAAAUGCUCCAGAGACUGAAC